rnacentral:rRNA from 1 species
CCUACGGGAGGCAGCAGUGAGGAAUAUUGGUCAAUGGGCGAGAGCCUGAACCAGCCAAGUCGCGUGAGGGAGUACUGCCCUAUGGGUUGUAAACCUCUUUUGUCGGGGAGCAAAAGCCGGACGUGUCCGGCUGUGAGAGUACCCGAAGAAAAAGCAUCGGCUAACUCCGUGCCAGCAGCCGCGGUAAUACGGAGGAUGCGAGAGUUAUCCGGAUUUAUUGGGUUUAAAGGGUGCGCAGGCGGAUUUUUAAGUCAGCGGUAAAAUCGUGGGGCUCAACCCCAUCCAGCCGUUGAAACUGGGGAUCUAGAGUGUGCGAGAGGUAUGCGGAAUGCGUGGUGUAGCGGUGAAAUGCAUAGAUAUCACGCAGAACCCCGAUUGCGAAGGCAGCAUACCGGUGCACAACUGACGCUCAGGCACGAAAGCGUGGGUAUCGAACAGGAUUAGAUACCCGAGUAGUC